UUGGGAUUCUUGGGCAAGGAACUGAGGAAGGAGCAGGAAGGGAGAUGGAUACCAAGCCAGGAAAGGAGUAGAGGCCACACCUGAGAGAACCACCAGCAGGAAACCAAGUGUUCAAAUCUGUGAGCCUAUGGAUGGGAGACAUUUCUCACUCAAGUCACCACAGGGUCCCAUCAUACUUGGCUUGUUGCAUGGUUGCUGGGGAUCAAACUCAGAUCUUCAUGCUUAUUCAGCAAGAAUGCUGCUGCCUGAGAUGUCUCCUCAGCCCUUCCUGAGAAUGCUGCUGCCUGAGAUGUCUCCUCAGCCCUUCCUGAGAAUGCUGCUGCCUGAGAUGUCUCCUCAGCCCUUCCUGUCCAUAUUUUGAUCUCAAGACCUCUGUCCUCCAGAAUCAAGAGACAAUGAUUGCUGUUGUUGAACGUACUCAGUCUUCAAGGCUUCCUGACUGACCAGUACAAAUGCCACAGUGCUCAGUGUGGUGACACAUGGCUUUAAUUCCAGUACUCAGAAGGCUAAGAUAAGACACCUGAGUUGAGAGCUGGCCUAAGCUACAAAAAAGGAACGGAACCAGAAAAGGGGAUAACAUUUGAAAUGUGAAUAAAGUAUCUAAU
ensembl:lincRNA Gm30146 predicted gene, 30146